CCGGGACCAUGUCAGCAUCUUUUAGCACAUGGCACAGGACUCAUGGUAGCAGGUGUUUAAUAUAAGCCUGGUAAACCCUAGGAUAUUUUUUUCUGAUGUCGGGUGUGGGCAAUGCUGGUGUGACUGAAGUACCAUCUUGCUUUACUACAACAGUUCUUGGAUCCCGAUGAGAAAAUUCCUCUGGCACAUCGUGAGUCAUGUGACUGAAACAAAUCAGACCACCUGUGAAACUGCUGUAGUGAGUCACUGUGACAUUUACAAGACUGUACCAUCAGAGCACUUACCACCUGGAGAUUUAAAGGAAUAGAUCUGAAGGAGGAGUACUUUCUUAUCAAAAGCAAUGGGCUGUGUACACGCAAGCUCAACUACUAUGCAGC
rnacentral:lncRNA from 1 species